UACGAACUGUGCGAACGUUAUUCGGAAUCACUGGGCUUACAGGGUGCGUAGGCGGCUUUUCAAGUCAGGUGUGAAAGCCCCCGGCUCAACCGGGGAAUUGCGCUUGAAACUGGAGAGCUCGAGUCAGCUAGAGGUGCACGGAACUUCCAGUGGAGCGAUGAAAUGUGUUGAUAUUGGAAGGAACACCGGAGGCGAAAGCGGUGCACUGGGGCUGGUCUGACGCUGAGGCACGAAAGCCAGGGUAGCGAACGGG
rnacentral:rRNA from 1 species